GAUGAACGCUAGCGGGAGGCCUAACACAUGCAAGCCGAGCGGUAUUUGUUCUUCGGAACAGAGAGAGCGGCGCACGGGUGCGGAACACGUGUGCAACCUGCCUUUAUCUGGGGGAUAGCCUUUCGAAAGGAAGAUUAAUACCCCAUAAUAUAUUGAGUGGCAUCAUUUGAUAUUGAAAACUCCUGUGGCUAGAGAUGGGCACGCGCAAGAUUAGAUAGUUGGUGAGGUAACGGCUCACCAAGUCAAUGAUCUUUAGGGGGCCUGAGAGGGUGAUCCCCCACACUGGUACUGAGACACGGACCAGACUCCUACGGGAGGCAGCAGUGAGGAAUAUUGGACAAUGGGUUAGCGCCUGAUCCAGCCAUCCCGCGUGAAGGACGACGGCCCUAUGGGUUGUAAACUUCUUUUGUAUAGGGAUAAACCUACUCUCGUGAGAGUAGCUGAAGGUACUAUACGAAUAAGCACCGGCUAACUCCGUG
rnacentral:rRNA from 1 species